rnacentral:rRNA from 1 species
CACGUAGGGUGCGAGCGUUGUCCGGAAUUAUUGGGCGUAAAGGGCUCGUAGGCGGUUUGUCGCGUCGGGAGUGAAAUCCACUGGCUUAACUGGUGGCUUGCUUUCGAUACGGGCAGACUGGAGGUAUGCAGGGGAGAACGGAAUUCCUGGUGUAGCGGUGAAAUGCGCAGAUAUCAGGAGGAACACCGAUGGCGAAGGCAGGUCUCUGGGCCGAUACUGACGCUGAGGAGCGAAAGCGUGGGGAGCGAACAGG